UAAGGUUUCCGGGUAAUCGCUUUCCGAAAUAUCGGAAGGAGGAAAGUCCGAACACCAACGAGAACUGUGCUUCCUAACAGGAAGGUCUUCCCGAUUUUUCGGGGGGAACAGAUAGUGCCACAGAAAACAGACUUCCUUUUGAAGUGGAGAGGGACGGGGUAACCCUCCUUCGCUGAAGCUUCGGAGGGUAAAGGUGAAAAGGUGAGGUAAGAGCUCACCGUCUCGCCUGGUGACAGGCGGGUGCAUGGUAAACCUCACAGGGUGCAAGUUCACGCAGAUUGUGCGCCUCUCGUCGCUAUACAAUCGGGUGGAACGCUCAGAUCUUUCGGGUGACCGAAAGGCCAGAUAAAUGAUUACCGCCCAGCCCCGACUUCUGUCGGGAACGGGUUACAGAAUUCGGCUUACAGGAAACUUUACAAC
rnacentral:RNase_P_RNA from 1 species